rnacentral:rRNA from 1 species
GAGUUUGAUCAUGGCUCAGAACGAACGCUGGCGGCAUGCCUAACACAUGCAAGUCGAACGAAGGCUUCGGCCUUAGUGGCGCACGGGUGAGUAGCGCGUGGGAACCUGCCCCUUCAGUGGGGGAUAACCGAGGGAAACUUCGGCUAAUACCGCAUGCGCCCCGGGGCAACUCGGGGGAAAGAUUUAUCGCUGAAGGAGGGGCCCGCGUCGGAUUAGGUAGUUGGUGGGGUAAUGGCCUACCAAGCCUGUGAUCCGUAGCUGGUCUGAGAGGAUGAUCAGCCACACUGGGACUGAGACACGGCCCAGACUCCUACGGGAGGCAGCAGUGGGGAAUAUUGGACAAUGGGGGCAACCCUGAUCCAGCAAUGCCGCGUGAGUGAGGAAGGCCGUUAGGGUUGUAAAGCUCUUUCGCACGCGACGAUGAUGACGGUAGCGUGAGAAGAAGCCCGGCUAACUCGUGCCAGCCGCCGCCGUAA